GCUGGGGUAGCUCAGUUGGUAGAGCAUGCGUCUCUUAAUCGCAGGGACGUGGGUUCUAGCCCCACGUUAGGCA